AUCUGCGGUUAGUCUGUUUUCUUUGCUUUUUAAUAGAUUGUGGUUAGUUAUUUAUAAAUGAAAUUAGGUUAAAUUUUUUCGUUUUAGUUUUUGAUAAUUAGUUAUUGAGUAAAUUUGUUUUGUGACAGGGAUUAGAUACCCCAUUAACAGAAUUGUUAUAUUUAUCUUAGUUUUAUAACUAAAAUAGUUUGGCAGUGAGUGAUUCUUAUUAGGGGAAGGUGUGUUGUAAUGGAUGUUCCGCCAAAUAAUUUACUUCUAUUAUGUUGGUGUAUAUCUGGUUUGAUAUUACUGUUUAAUAAUAUAAUUUGUGUAUAAUUUGUUAAGCCAAGUCAAUGUGCUGCUUAUAGGAGUGUUCAUGCGUUACAUUUAUAAUCUAUUCAUUGUAAGUUUGAAUAAAUUUAGGACUUAAUAGUAAUGUUUAAUUAAUUUGUCGACGUGAAAUAA
rnacentral:rRNA from 1 species